GAAGUGCGAUAAGCAAUGCGAAUUGCAGAACCGUGAGUCAUCAGAUUUUUGAACGCAACUGGCGCCGGCUGGUCAAUCCGGCCGGCAUGCUUGUUUCAGUGUCUCUUUAUCUCCUCACCCAAAUCAUAAUGCGAGAGAUAACCUUCUCUUGCCAAGCACGAAAGCACUCUGUACUCUGCGAGCGAUGUCGAUUCGUCGAUGUCGCACUCAAUGCAGCGAUCACAUUGCUUACAAUGUGAACUCAUUGAGAGUUGAGACAGUGCAGCGCAAGCUGCCAGUGCUUAGUCACUCAAACUUUACUUGCAUCUGAAAUCAAGCAGGAUCACCCGCUGAACUUAA
rnacentral:misc_RNA from 1 species